UGCAACCCUUCCCUUUCAAAUGGAGGAUAGCCCCUCCGAAAGAGGGAUUAAUACUCCGUAGUAUUACAGAUAGGCAUCUAUAAGUAAUUAAAGCUCCGGCGGUUGAAGAUGGGCAUGCGUUGCAUUAGCUAGUUGGUGAGGUAAUGGCUCACCAAGGCGACGAUGCAUAGGGGAUCUGAGAGGACUAACCCCCACACUGGUACUGAGACACGGACCAG
rnacentral:rRNA from 1 species